AUUGAACGCUGGCGGCAGGCCUAACACAUGCAAGUCGAGCGAGCGGCGGACGGGUGAGUAAUGUAUGGGGACUGCCCGAUAGAGGGGGGUAAAUACUGGAAAAGGUGGAUAAUACAGCAUACUAUCGGAUUACCCCUAUUGGAUUAGCUAGUAGGUAAGGUAAUGGCUUACCUAGGCGACGAUCCCCAGCUGGUCUGAGAGGAUGAUCCGCCAACCUGGAACUGCGACACGGCCCAGACUCCGACGGAGGCAGCAGUGGGGAAUAUUGCACAAUGGGCGCAAGCCUGAUGCAGCCAUGCCGCGUGUAUGAAGAAGGCCCUAGGGUUGUAAAGUACUUUCAGUCGGGAGGCGUUACCGACAGAAGAAGCACCGGCUAACUCCGUGCCAGCAGCCGCGGUAAUAC
rnacentral:rRNA from 1 species